UGAGCAACCUGCCUUUCAGUGGGGGACGAACAUUUGGAAACGAAUGCUAAUACCGCAUAAGACCACAGUGUCGCAUGGCACAGGGGUCAAAGGAUUAUCCGCUGAAAGAUGGGCGUCGCGUCCGAUUAGCUAGAUGGUGAGGUAACGGCCCACCAUGGCGACGAUCGGUAGCCGGACUGAGAGGUUGAACGGCCACAUUGGGACUGAGACACGGCCCAGACUCCUACGGGAGGCAGCAUG
rnacentral:rRNA from 1 species